UACAGAGGGUGCAAGCGUUGUUCGGAAUUACUGGGCGUAAAGCGCGUGUAGGUGGCGAUGUAAGUCGGGUGUGAAAGCCCUUGGCUUAACCAAGGAAGUGCACUCGAUACUGUGUCGCUUGAGUAUCGGAGGGGACGGCGGAAUUCCCGGUGUAGAGGUGAAAUUCGUAGAUAUCGGGAGGAACACCUGUGGCGAAGGCGGCCGUCUGGACGAUUACUGACACUGAGACGCGAAAGCGUGGGUAGCAAACAGG
rnacentral:rRNA from 1 species